AGAGUUUGAUCCUGGCUCAGGGUGAACGCUGGCGGCGCGCUUAAUGCAUGCAAGUCGAGCGUGAUCGUGGCUUCGGCCACAAUGAUAAAGCGGCAGACGGCUGAGUAACGCGUGAGUAAUCUGCCCUCCGGUGGGGUAUAACCUCGGGAAACUGAGGAUAAUCCCGCAUACGACCUGCAUCCCUUGGGGUGCAGAUGAAAGGCUUCGGUCGCCGGAGGAGGAGCUCGCGUCCUAUCAGGUUGUUGGUGGGGUAAUGGCCUACCAAGCCGAUGACGGGUAGCUGGUCUGAGAGGAUGACCAGCCAGAGGGGGACUGAGAACGGCCCCCACUCCUACGGGAGGCAGCAGCAGGGAAUCUUGGGCAAUGGGCGAAAGCCUGACCCAGCGACGUCGCGUGGGGGACGAAGGCCUUAGGGUUGUAAACCCCUUUUCCGAGGGAAGAUACAGGACGGUACCUCGGGAAUAAGCCCCGGCUAACUACGUGCCAGCAGCCGCGGUAAUACGUAGGGGGCAAGCGUUACCCGGAAUCACUGGGCGUAAAGUGCGCGUAGGCGGUUGGAUAAGUCUCUUGUGAAAGCUCCCGGCUCAACUGGGAGAGGUCAAGGGAUACUAUUCGACUUGAGGACAGCAGAGGUAAGCAGAAUUCCCGGUGUAGCGGUGGAAUGCGUAGAUAUCGGGAGGAACACCAGUGGCGAAAGCGGCUUACUGGGCUGUAGCUGACGCUGAGGCGCGAGAGCGUGGGGAGCAAACUGGAUUAGAUACCCAGGUAGUCCACGCCCUAAACGAUGGAUACUAGGUAUGGGGGGUAUUGACCCCCUCCGUGCCGUAGCUAACGCGUUAAGUAUCCCGCCUGGGGACUACGGCCGCAAGGCUAAAACUCAAAGGAAUUGACGGGGGCCCGCACAAGCGGUGGAGCGUGUGGUUUAAUUCGAUGCUAAGCGAAGAACCUUACCUGGGCUUGACAUGUUGGUAGUAGGAAUCUGAAAGGAUGACGACCUCGGGGUAACUCGAGGAGCCAUCACAGGUGCUGCAUGGCUGUCGUCAGCUCGUG
rnacentral:rRNA from 1 species